CCUACGGGCGGCUGCAGUAGGGAAUAUUGGACAAUGGGCGCAAGCCUGAUCCAGCCAUCCCGCGUGAAGGAUUAAGGCCCUCUGGGUUGUAAACUUCUUUUCUUUGGGAAUAAAAACUCCGAUUCAUCGGAGCUUGAAGGUACCAGAGGAAUAAGCACCGGCUAACUCCGUGCCAGCAGCCGCGGUAAUACGGAGGGUGCAAGCGUUAUCCGGAUUCACGGGGUUUAAAGGGGCCGUAGGUGGCAGUGUAGAACGCCCGGAGCUCAACUCCGGAACUGCCAUUGAUACUGCUUAGCUUGAAUCAGGUCGAGGUGGAUGGAAUAUUACAUGUAGCGGUGAAAUGCUUAGAUAUGUAAUAGAACACCGAUUGCGAAGGCAGUUCACUAGGCCUGUAUUGACACUGAGGCACGAAAGCGUGGGGAUCAAACAGGAUUAGAUACCCGGGUAAUC
rnacentral:rRNA from 1 species